UGCCCUACCGUCUUGAUGAAUCAACAGGCCUUAUUGAUUAUGAUAUGCUUGAGAAAACUGCCACCCUCUUUCGACCAAAACUCAUCAUUAUUCUGUUGGGGCUUUUCUCAUGAUGGAUAUGGC